AUUUAAUUAUUGGACAAAUCAUUGAUAUUUGCUCAUUAGAAUUAGAAUAAGUAAUUUUGGUAGUACUAAGGAAUACUGCUGUCUUUUUUGCAGGUCUUUCUUUCUAGUGGUUGAUGAUGUUUACCAUGUUUAUAUGAGCCUACCUUCACAUUUUCCAAAUUAAAAAAAGGAAGUCAAACUAUUUAGGAAUAGUUCACCAAAUUUGUUAGGUCCUCCUCAAAACCUUCUUGCUGGGUUUGUGAAUGGUUUGGUAAUUAAGUAGAAUUUUGCUACUGAAAAUAUGACUUUAAAUCACCACCAGGAAGCUUCUGCAAAAACAGACUUGCUAUCCCCAACCCUACCUCCAGACAGAAUCUGCAUUUUGCUGUGAUGCAGGGUUUCGCAUAUUAAAGUUUGAAAGUAAAUAGCAUACUGGGGAGUGAGAUACAAAGAAUUUGUAUCCUUUGGAAUACAAAAAAAUUUUGACUGUAUAAUUUUAUUGUUAUCUUCAGAAACAACUACAAAGAUUACUCCUUGGAGUCCAGACUACAUUUCAGAAUUCAGGCAGCUCUUCACCUCUGGAAAAAACCCUCCUCGGAAUGAUCAGGACCCAGAUGAUGGAAUUCCCCCCAAAUAGCAUCGGCAUCUGCUGUAGAUUAGACCUUGUUUUAAAGUGAGAAAGUGAUCUUGUGAAUAAGAGAUGGAAAAUUUAUUUUACUGUCAAUAUUUUCUAUCAUCUGAAUAGUUUACUGUUGGUCUCCAUAAAAAUGUUUUUAUUUUUCUUCCUGUGGAAUAACAUUCAAUAAUAGCUAGAAAAUUCUUAACUUUGCGUCUCCAAAAAGAAUUUCACAUUAGGUUUUAAUUGGGGGGUGAAGAGUCUUUUUAGAGACUCAUAGGUACAAUAAAGACUAAUUAGAUUAUUUAUUUUUUUAAUGUGGAAAUUAAUAUUGUUUAGCAAAUAACUUACAAGUUGAACCAUUUUUAGAUUUGUUGUUGUCAGUUAAGAUUAGAGAUAUUUUGUUGCCUAGUAUUUAAAUCUCAGAGGAGAAAUAAAUAUUGCAUUAGAUAAUUUAAUGAACUUCUGAAGACCGAAAAAGACAGGCAGAGAGCAUAAACUUGGUUGGGAUAAUUACUUCGUGUUUUAAAGAGACUUGUACCUAUAAAAGAUCAUGAAACUCCAAGUUAUUGGGGUUUUACUCCUCUUAUUGGUUAAAAGUUGAGAGACUAUGCUGGUUUUGAAUGUACUUAAGUCUAUCAUAAAAACAAAAUUUUUAAAGCUUGUGUAUAUAAAGGAAAGAAAAAGUCAUAUUUUAGAAAUUAUCCUUAACCUUAGUGAUAAAGCCUAAAAUCUAAACAUUGAUUAUUUUUCUUAUAGGAAGCAAAGUUCUUGCAGCUUUAAAUGAUAUAUGAAAAUCAAUAAUUUUUACACUUACAAUGAUAAGAUCUCAUUUUCUAAUCUCUCUAGCACUGUGAUGGUUCCUUAUAAAUAUUUGGACUGUGCUUAAUCCUUUAAUUGAGAAAUAGGAUCAAGUCAGGGAGUAGGCAAAAUGCUGUAAUCCUGGCUCUGCGAUUGAAGAGCAGUUCAACAGGUGACCUUUAGGAAGUCCCUGCUCCCUAUGCAUCACCAUGGUUUCUUCAUCUAUGAUAUGGAAAAAGGAACAGAUGACUUAAAGGUCUCUUUCAGCUUUAUAACUGUGUGACAGUGUAUUAGGUAUUUAUUUUCGGCAGAUGUUAAAUGUUUUCAUCCAAACCAUUCCCACCUACAGCAUGUUUUAUUUUUCAGUCAUCACCAUUCCUUGCCCAUAUUGUAUGUGUUGUGGCUAAGGACCAGCUUUCAUCUAGAAUGUAGAAAAGCAGUUCAUGAAUCUGUGAGUCUGGGGUUUCGUUCCAUUUCUUUUUUGAAGAAGGGAGCUUGUCUUGGGAACCUCUUCAUUUUUACAGAAAGAGUCUCAGAUUGGGAGUCCUUCUCUGUUGGUUAAUCGUGCCAUGAUAUUGGAGAAAGUGGCUUAUACUUUCUGGGACUCAGUUUUCCCAGUGGGAAUAGCAAAGUAGUACUUGGUGCUCUUGAGGACUUAAUUAGAUAUUGCUUAUGGAGGCAUUUUGUAAACCCUGAAAGGCUAUAUGAAUAUGAGUUGUUGUAAUAAUUAUGGUUUUUAAUGCACUGAUUACAGUAUAAACAAAAAUAUUGGCUGAGUCUAUGGUCUCUGCUAUAAAAUGAAAGAAGUGUGGAAAUUUGAAAACCAUUAAAUUUAUUCAUGCAUUUAGCACUGAUAGUAGCCCAUAUAAUGAAUUUCUUCCUUGUUCUCCCCUGUUACAGGACUCUUUCCCUAGCAGGAAUUUGGUGAUGUUUUCUUUAAGGUGCAAAUUCUUGACCAAUGAAGAUGUCUUUCCAAUGGAAGAUAAUUAAUACAAGUCAAGUCAGAAUACUGCCUCUUUAGAUAGUAUGGUGGCAGAUAUCAAUAUGUGCUAUCAAUAUAAAUUACAUAAUUACUUAAGGUACAGACUGAAAAGGAAAUAAAUCAACUCAUUAUUUACUAUAAUUAGUAGUAAAAAACAUGUUCACUAAUUAUUUUACUUUGGAAAAAGUUUAUAAAUUCUUUAGGAGAGUUUUGGCAGCAAUAUACUCUGAUUUUUGUGAGAAGCUGCAAGUCAAUAAAAAAUAUUCUUCUGGUAUAAAAUGAAGAAAUCUUAAUCUAACAGUGGCUAUUUUAAUUGUAGCUACAUUAUCAAAUACAAAAGAAAUUCAUCUGUCCCAUUUAAAAUUUUCCUGUUAUUUUCUUUCUUUUUCUAUUUUCUAUCUAGUGCAUUUGUAAGUAAGUACUAUAAUAGCAUUAGUUCUGCUAUAUUUGUUUUCUCUCAUGCCUAAGAUAUUGUGCUGGCACCAAUUUCUUGACAUCAGCUGAUAUUGUAUUUUUGGAGUUAUUUUGUAAUUCAGGGUGUUAUAUGAAGUGACAUUGCUUAAUCUUUUGAGAGGCAUGUAUGACGACGUUGAAUUUCUGAUGUGUCUGACGUUGUAAUUUAUGUAAUACCUCAUAAAAUUGCCUUUUUUCUCCUUUUUAAUGGAGAGGCAUUGUUCUGAGUGGUGAAUUGGAAAUUUUUAAAAUUUGUUCUAAUUAGUUAUACAUGACAGUAGAAUGCAUUCUGACACAUCAUACAUAAAUGGACUAUACCUUCUUAUUUUUUUCAUUGUACAUGAUGUAGAAUCACACCAGUCACGUAGUCAUAUAUGCACAUAGAGUAAUAAUGUCCAAUUCAUUCUACUAUUCUGCCUACCCCCAAUGCUCCCUUCCCUCCCCUCCCCUCACUACCCUCUGCCUAAUCCAAAGUACCUCUAUUUUUCCCAAGAUCCUCUCCCCUUAUCGUGAAUUAGCAUCUGCAUAUCAGAGAAAACAUUCUGCCUUUGGUUUUGGGGGAUUGGCUUAUUUUGAUUAGCAUGAUAUUCUCUGGCGCCAUCCAUUUACCAGCAAAUGCCAUCAUUUCUUUUUCUUUUUUUUUUGUUUUUGGUACUGGGGAUUGAACUCAGGGGUACUCAACUACUGAGCCACAUCCCCAGCCCUAUUUUGCAUUUUAUUUAGAGACAGAGUCUCACUGAAUUGCUUAGUGCCUCACUUUUGCUCAGGCUGGCUUUGAACUCAAGAUACUCCUGCCACAGCCUCCCAGCCACUGGGAUUGCAGGCAUGCAUCACCACUCCCGGCUUAAUGCCAUCAUUUCAUUCUUCUUCGUUAAGGCUGAGUAAUAUUCCAUUGUGAUAUGUACUACAUUUUCUUUAUCCAUUUAUCUGUUGAAGGGCAUCUAGGUUGGUUAUUGUGAGUUGAUCUGCUUUAAACAUUGACAUGGCUGUGUCACUCUAGUAUGCUGAUUUUAAGUCUUUUUUUUUUUGUAAUAUUUAUUUAUUUAUUUUGAUUUUAAGUCUUUUGGAUAUAAACCAAGGAAUGGGAUAGCUGGGUCAAGUGGUGGUUCAUUCCAAGUUUUCUGAGGAAUCUCCAUACCGCUUUCCAUAUGGUUCCAACCAAGUUGAAGUUCUACCAGCAAUAUAUGAGUGUACUUUUUCCCCCACAUCCUCACCAACAUUUAUUGUUGCUUGUAUCCUUGAUAAUUGCCAUUCUGACUAGAGUGAGAUGCAUUGUAUAUUUAAGUAAAUUUUUUGUUUCAUUGGAUUGGUGACAAGGCACCAUUUCCAUUUGGCAUUUAAUGAUAGAUUAUGUUGGCUCUUGACAUUUUCUAUACCCAGAGAUAUAAGUAGGUCCCAAGUUGUUUAGAAGAAAAAGUUCAUUGAUUUUUUCCUUCAGAGGGCAGAGAUGAGACAAAAGUGGAUAGAAGCUGUAAGGAGGUGAAUUCUAGAUUAAUCAGUGUUAAGAAAUAUUUUUAAUCAUUAGAAUGUUCCAACAGUCUUAGUCUAACUAGCUCUUUGGCAUUGGGGUGAGUUUAGUAGUGCUAUAUGACUAUCAUUCCUACCUGGCAUCAGUGCUUGGGCUAGUUGAAUUUGAGGUCACUCUAUGAGUCUUUGAUCAGGGUUUCAAAUCAGAGAGGUUUUGGGCAUAAAGAAGAAAAUGCCCCUUUAAAUAAAAGUGAAUGUUUCUUCUUUCAAAGGUCCUUACAUUGUGAUAGGCACCAACAGUAUCUGCUAUUGGUACUCAUUAUGAUUCUAUUUCUGUCCCUUCAAAACUAUUGAAGCUAUUGAUCUUUGUGAAUAGAGGUAUUUCUCCCCUUCAAUGAUAAAAGCAGUAAUUAAAAUAUGGUCUUUAUGACCAACUGGAAAUUUUUCUGUAAAUGAUAAAUAAUUAAAUUAAUUAAUUUUUUACUCUUUUUCUUUCUAGUGGGACUAUCCAUUUCAUAAAUCUUAAAUAUAUUUAGUUAAAACAAAUUAAUGAAGACUCCUAGCAAUAAUUUUUGAAACCCUAAGAUUUUACUUUUCAUUGGCCCUGGAAUGGAUCUGGGGACAUUAUCUUAUCCUUUCCAGCUUUUCAACUGUAGUGGUUAUCCUUUCAUACUGUUUUGUCUGGUAUAAUCUCCACUUGCCACCUUGUGGCCAUUUAGCCGUUGAAAUGUCCAGGCUACACAGGAUUAUGCUGAUUGUCACAGGGGCCUUCCUUCAUACAUGCUGCAGUUUUGUCUAAAGAAUCCCAGGAUCCUGCUUCCUGGCAUUCUGGCUUUUGCUUGCUGUCUACUGUGACCACUUAGUCGCCACAGUUGCAUCAGGAAUUGUGUUGCAAAUAUCUGUGAGUUCACUUCUUCUGUUGAAGUGCCCUUAAACCUUCAUUUCACUGUGUUUGUUCUUCAGAUGUUCCAGGUCAUUGGCAUGUUUGAACGUUAGUCUCACCCCUUCUGACCCCUGCUGAGCUUGUAUACAAAUUAAAAGUUCUUAUUUUUUUAAGGUUACUGUUUUAAUAUGAUUUUAUAGACAUUCCUUGAUUUUCCACAAAGUGCGGCUGUUAGAAUUAUAGGAGAGUGAGUGACUGUCACCAUUGAAAUGUUAGUAGAUUUCAUGUGUAAAAUAACUUAUAAGAGCAUUAUUCUGAAAAAUUUAGUGAACUCUUUUUAAUCCCUUAAUUAGUGUUUCAACAUUGACUCUCUCAACUAGCCCAAUCUUACUCUUUCAAGUUUUUAGAUACAAGUUAACCACUUAGAAUAAUUUGGCAGAUUGAAAUUUAAAGUUAUAUAUAAAUGCCUUUUGCCGCCUAUUAUUAUUUUGAAUGUAUAUGAUACUUAAGCAAUAUGCAUGGCAUAUUUUUAAUCUCUAGACAUUUCUUGAUUAUAUAAGUCUAUUGAUUGCUAGACAAAACAACUUACAGUAUAUAGACAAUGUUUAUACUGUCAGGAGUGCAGGGUUUUCUCUAAAUUGUUCUUUCUCCCCAAUUAUUUACAUUUUUUUUUUUUUAAAGUGUAGGAGUUUGUUCUAUAACCCUUUUGCUGCUUCCCUUGUUGGUGGUUUUGUCUUUUGUGCAUUUACUGUUGGAUUUAGUAACUUUAGAAUGUUAAGCUUGAAAUUUAAUGAAAGACAUCAGAAUUUAUCAUAUCAUUUGGGUUGAGCAAUUUUGUCUGAUCUUGACAGACUCCCUUCCUACGAGGGAAUUGUUGAAAUCCAUUCCAGUCUGUUUGUAAAACUUCAUCACUAUAGAAAGAAAUGUAAGAACAAUUCUGUAUAUUGGGAUAGUUGAGCAGGUUCUUGGCUGAGCCAUUCAGAAGGCUAUGUGGAAGUCCAAGCCCCAUUCCCUCCUGUCUUCAGUGUACCUGUGACAUGUGUUAACAUACUAAUAAUACUGUAACAGGACUUUGCAUGGGAAAAAAAUCAAAGCAGCUGCCUCACUGUAUUUAAUAAAGAAUGCCUACGAUGCCUGCCAAUUGGAUAUUUUAAUAGGAAAAGUCAAGGUCUGUGCAUACCAAACUUCAAUAAGUAAAACUUGUUGAACAUACAAUAUACUUUGUGUUGCUAAUGCAGUAGUUCUUAGAAAUGUAUAAUUUUAAAUGAUGAAUUUAAGGGAUGCUGGCAUAUCCCAUUGGGAACAUUUGUUUUAUCGCUGCUUAACAUUUUCUAGCAUAUUGGGUUUAAUUAUGGUAGUCUGUUGGGUAUCAUUUUUGGGGAAAAUAAAGGUGUUAAUGUCAGUGUAACAGAACUGAUAGCAAGAGAAAUCGAAUAAAUGAGUACAUUAAAGAAUAUUACUUAUUUCAUUUUUAAAGGAAUUACAUUAUUUUGAAAUUUGAAGGUAUUCUCAACUUGAAGGUACAACCUGUCUGCUUUGGAAAUUAUGCAAAUAUUUUAAUUCAUUCUUUAAUGGAGCCAAAUGUGCAGGAAGCAAUUUUGGAGAUAAUAAAUGAGUUUAAAUAAUUUAUAUUAAUUCACUUUUUUUCCUGAAGCAAUUCAUUCUUCAUAGUAGACAGUUGCUUUUUGUGUAAGGAAAAAAUGUACACAUUUUGAAUCUUAGGCUGUUAGAUUUAAUGGCUUAAGAAAACAGCAUUGUUGGGUUCUGUUUAACUGAAAUUUACAGAGGGAGGGCAUAUGUGUUUGACUAUGUGCUGUCCAGAAAAACUGUUUAAUUCUCAACAAUAUGUUGUUUUCUUAUACUGUGUCAUACAAAUUCUAUAAGUAAGUAGUUUAUUUAUUAUCAUUUUUUUUCUUUGCUGAUUGUUGGUAUCUAAACACCUAAAAGAGUACUGACUCAUGUAUAUAUUGGUGUUUUAAAAUAUUUAUUUGCAAAUGUUCAUAGAACACUUAAUUUUUUUGAUGCAGGUUGCUAAAUUAUAUUUAAAAGCAAAUAUAUAUAUAUAUAUAUAUUUAAUAAGUGAGAAGUAUUAUUUUCUUACUGAAAUUUAUUUUCCAAGGCAAAUUUAUUUUAUACUGUUUCAUUUGGGAAACUUUGCUUUCUCUCAAAACAGAAAAUAAACCUGUCUUGUAGUCUGGCUACCUAGAAGCCCCUAAUGUUAACUUGUACAUGUAGGAGGCUUUUGAAAUUAUUUAAUAACAUUAUUUUUACUUUUGUUUGAAUUUUAAAAAAAGUUGAAAGCCAUAGCAUUUUGUAAGCCAGUUUGGAGUUUCCUGUUGAAUAAUCAGAGCUACAUAUAUGAACUUUAUAGUUCAAUUUUCUUAGUAAAAAUUUUCAGUAUCUUACCUUUUUCUUCACCACAUUUGAGCUUAAUCUCCUGCCUUUCACAUUCUCAGAAGUCACAGUUUUACAAAACAAAAUGUUUUUAGAAAUUGAAGAUGUAAGAGUCUGUGUGAGAUGAAUGUGUCAGUAAUAUCCUUCUGCUGUUCAACUAGGCACUGGUACCUGAAAGUGAAAUAGAUUGAAGCUGUAAAAGCAUUUUAUCAAUACAAAUCAAGAAGAAACUGUGAACUUCUUAUAAUUUUAAUAUAAAAGCUAUGUGCCCAAUGAGUAUUCUCUUGUUGAUUGUGUUAAUGUUUUGUCUGCAAUUUGUAAGUUUAAUGCUGAUAUUUGAUCUAAAUUUUCAACAUGAAGACAGCAUUUCCUGUAGGCUAUUUUUUUUUAACCAUUCAAACAUUUUUGGAAAACAGAUGUCAUCUUAGAAAUUGCAUUUUUAAGUGCAAAUAAAUCAUCCCAAAUUGCAAGUCAACAUGUUUUAUUUUUCAUUCCUUAGUAUUACAGAAUAUUCUGCAUUAUUAAAUACAUGUUUAAGUUGCCAGGUUUUGUUUUUCAGAAUUCUGUAUUUUCAUAUUGCUAUAACUGGUUUACCUACAACAUGCAAUUGAAUUGUUCCUUAAAUAAAUGACACUUGAUGCAUCUGCAGUUUUCUUUUAGUUGGUGUAUAUAUAAAAGCUGUACAACAUAUGUUUCACUGGUCUUUAA
rnacentral:lncRNA from 1 species